GGGCUAUCUUGUGAGCCAAAAUGGCGACCGAGGGACCACAGUUUCAGCCCUCGAGGAGAAUUUUUCUUGCUCAAGGUAACAAGAAAGAUUGAAACAACACAGCAAGACCCCGAAGAUGGUAUUAUUUCAAGAAACAAGCUCUACCUUGAGUGAUGCUGUCUGAAAUGGGAGGCCUGUGUUGUAUUACUGUCGGAAAUGUCAGAAGUGUCAUCCAUUUUCUCCGCUGUGGCACUUAGAGAUUCAGGAAAUCAGGUCUUCGAGAUGUUUGGUCGCAAUCGUGGACAAUGUCUGGGCUUUACGUGUUGGAGCUCCAUCACUCCUCUGUCAUUACAUCCCUUUCAGCAAAGAUCAGUGAAUGGCAGCAGAGAGAGAGGACAGCAAGCUGAGAGUGAUAGAAGAGACAUGGCUGUCAAGUGACAUUUUGUCUUGGAGUCCAGGGCAUUGUUUGCUAAGAGAGACAACACCAGUCAUGAACAUUACACUGGCUGGAAGAGUGACACGCUCAUAUACCCUCAUCCAAAGCAGCCUCAGGUUGACUAAUUAAAGGGUUCUUUUCUCUG